rnacentral:sRNA from 1 species
CUUUUUCUCAGCCUCUUCUUGAAUGUA